GUUUUAUUUGGGAAAACAGAAAUUACUUUUGAAGAGAAAAGUUCAGAAAUAUCUAGUUUUGAAGAACUUGAAAACAUAUUAAUAUCUGUCAAUAGAAUGGGAGUCUGUUCUGAAAUUAAGCUAUGGUUUGCAGAUUGAAGCGAUUUAAAUGGAAGACCA